UGAGCCUUCGGGGGAGAGCGGCCGGUGCGAGGCUGUAACCAGCCGCAGUGCUUGGCCCUUGGACGAAGUACGGGCUGCGGGUUAAAGAGCAGGGCUGGUCUUGGUGGGGCGGCUGUCAGCAGGGAGCAGACUGGGACGUGCCCUUGUCACACGCCAGGUGACGGCCUGCGCUUCGCUGGUUUGAAGGGUUAUUUUUAAGGGUUCUGGCUCUGCCUGAUGCCUCAUAAUUGUAGUUAUGGUGUCUGGUUGUCGGUGACAUGCGGUUUGGUGUGACCAGCAGGAGGAGCUCUGCUUCCUUUUAAAGUCCUUAGUAUAUGUGGAAGAACGUAGGUUUAGAUUAGAUGUAAGAAAUUCUUUAGUGUGAGGGUGGUGAGGCACUAUCACAGAUUGCCCAGAGAAGCUGUGGACACCCUGUCCCUGGGUGUGUUCAAGGCCAGGCUGAAUGGGGCACUGGGCAGCCUCGUCUACCGGAGGGUGUCCCUGACCAUGGCAGGGGAGGGUUGGAAUCAGAUGGUCUUUGAGGUCACUUCCCACCCAAAUGUAUAAUUCUAUGUCCAUAGACACAUGAAUCAAGUUUGAAAAAGCUGAGCGAGCAGAUGAGAUGGGGUAAGACAUCUCGGCGUGAUAUGAGAGCAGCCAGCUUCCCCACUAUUGCCUGUGCUCACUGUCUCAUGUUGGCAUAGUUUAGCCAGCUGACUAGGUGCUGUCUUUAGUUUCAGCCCUCUGGCUGGCACACAGGAGGUAGGCUGGUAUUUUGAGCAGUGUUUUUAGGCUUUCCUGUAGUGAACGUUAUCCCUGCUUGUGCUAGUCUUUUGUGCUGGGGAAUGGGAAAUAAAUGUUCACCAAAUGAGAGAGUAAUCAAAGCUCUGUGAGGCUUAAGGGGACUGGAGUUCACCAAAACCACACAUGGAAGGCCCGUGCUCAAAACUGGAAGGGAAGAUAUUCAAAGUGUUGCAUGGCUUGUGAAAUAAUAAACCAUUUCUAGUUACAGCUGAUACCUGUGAAAUAAAGCACUUUAUAAUGCUGAGAAGAUACCGAAUUGGAAAGAGUGGUGAAGAGUUUUGCAGGUUUGCUUGAAGUCUUGGCUGAAGUUCAGUAGUGGUACAGCUCAGGUAAAAUGGAAUUGCAAGGGUUUAUUUCAUACUUUGGCUUCUCAUGGAGGUAAGUACAAGGCAUUUGCUCAGGGUAUUGCUGCACAGUAACUACAGAGGUAGUGUGUUUGCCACAGAAUGAAUACAUGAGUGCUGGAGGAAGGAUGUGAGAUGUUCUGUGGUGCAGAUAUUUCACCUGAACAUUGCAGCCUUCCAAGAUUUGCUGGUACUACAGCAGUGUAUGCUAUUCGUUUAUGACUUUAGAUGUAGCUCCCUUUAGUUGGAAGCUGAAGCAGUUGCAUGUCCUGCAAACAGUCCAGUGUUCUGAGGGUGUUUCUCCUCACAGCCAGGUUCUCCUGUUUUAUCAUAUUCCUCACUGAAGAAAAGGAGUGGUGGGGGUGUAAUGCUGUUAAUAAAAUUCAUAGCAUCAAUAGUUCAAUUUAUCUGGAGAAUUCUGAAUUACAAGUACAGCCCCUUUUAUUUCUUUCCUAAUUCUGUUUCUUCUCUACGCUGAUACCUUUAGAUUAGGUGAGCUGUGGGUGAAAUGAAGGGCACUGGCACGAUGACUUGUGUCACAGCUGCUAUCCUCUGUAGACUUUAGGCCUGUGCAUUUAUCUCUGCAGCUGAUACCUGGUAAGAAUGGUAAAUACUGCAGUGAAAUGGUUGGUCAAGCUUGGUUAUCUUUUCUAUAACUGUCAGAAAAAGUGCUUGUGAAAAUUUCAGCGAAGAUGUUCUGCUGGCCAAACAACAGGAUGUUUUGUUAAGCUGGUUUAGAAACAAUUGGUUUUACUUGCAGUGGUUCCCUUCACUCCCUCCCCAUCCCCCUGCAGUCAGUGCUGCUGCUUUGAGGAGGAUGCUGGGUACCCCACUUCACAGAUAAUUGAGUCUUGUUAUAUCUAAUUUCUUUUAUCUGUACAUGUAGAUGCCACUGAUGUCUCAGCUAAGGUAAGAAAAAGGAAAUUACUUAAGGAAACUACCUAAAUGAACACCUGAUGCAAGAGAGAAGUAAAACAUGUUUUCUCUGUGUGUGUUGCUCACUUUGGUCAGUCUUGGGGGUUUUGAUACUUGCAAGUAUAUGGAUCUAACUUGUUUGCCACAGCUUGUCAGAGACGUUAAUGAUGAAACCUGUGUUACGUGUCUCAGACUUGAAUAAUCUGUUCACCUGAAAGUGCUAAUGUCCAAAUCUGUCCUGACCCAACAGGCCUUAAUUGCAAUGUCUGUAAGAGGCUUAGAGUCCUAUUGCAGAAAUAAGUGGUGUGGCUGCAUUUCAUACGAGGAGGUAGAAUGUGACAGUAGAACUGAAAACGCACCUUUGGCAUUUUCUUGAACAUCAGUAUGCUCUGCUUUAAUGCUGUUAAUGAAAACCUGCUCUGGUGUCUGCGUGGUGCUCAGCCUGUGAAGCUGAGAGGUUUGUGUGUACUUUUCUAUGCUGACAUCCUGCACUGCAAAACUGUGGGUUCUUUGUUACUGAAGUGAUUUUGGUCACUAUGGACUCCAGUAAGCCACGCUGUUUCCUGACCUGGAGAAUCAGUUGGAAGAUCCUGAAGGAGGAAUGAAGAAGAUACGUAGCAAUGUGUGAUGACUUUGCUCAAAAGAAGAAAAUGCUCAGUCUUAAGUUUAAUCCACGUUCAUAGGCAGAAAGCUGUCUUCAUGUCUCAGCGUUCAUUCUGACAAGUUUGCUCUUAAAGAAACCAAGCAUUUGGAUGCUUAAAUUGAGUAGUCACUGGGUAGUAUACAAAGCCAGGCUGCAUGAGAAAGAGAUUUCAGGAUGAAUUGUAUAAAUACAUCAUGUCAUAGUUUUUAAGGUGUGUGGUGGUCUAGGUCUACCAUCACUAUCAACAUCCAUGUCAAUGCAGCACAGAGAUCUGUUAGGAUUGUCUCAGUUCACGGAAAUGAUGGUCAGGCAUAAUGUCAUUCCUGGUGUGCAAACGAACUGGACAAAAGAUUUGCAUGUGCACUCAAACAGAGAGUGCAAUACAGUUUCUAAGAGUGAUACCAUCUGUGCUAGUCUUGGCACAUAAAUUUUAAGGUCCUCUUUUCUUAAUUAUCCCAGCUGUAAAACUUAGUUGUCUGCAGUCCCUUAGGAGGAAGGAGUGGAAGUGUCACUGACCAACGGCUUAUUUCAAAGCCUGUGGGCAGGGUGUGAACUUUCACCUUAAAAUUGCUGCUCAGAUAGUGGAUGAAGAAGCUGUGAUGAAGGUUGGUUUAUUUUAAUUGUUACCUAUUGAGCUGUUUGCCAAAAAGUUUCAGGAGCUGCAAGGGGAAAGGUGAGAGGGUGAGUUCAGCUGGGAAGAACAGGUAAGUACUUGUAUAUCAUGUUACUGUUUCCAAGUGUCUUGAUGACAACGCUAAGAAUACAUUGUGAGCUUGGAAAAACAGGAAAGAGCGGAAGGCUUCUGUGCCUUUUUGAAGUGUUCUAAAUGAAAUUGUGGGGAGGCAGCUGUUAAACCAGUUUGUGGAAGAGCCUAGUAUUUGUGCAUAGCCAGAAGAGUGUAAAGCAGCUCUGGAAGUAAUUCUGACUAUAAAAUAUUUUCUUUGUCUUUCAGGAAAAAGAAGAGUGCUCCAAGAGCAGUCAGGAGUCAAGCUAGGAUGGACGCGUUCUUCAGCUGAAACAUGGCAGCAGUUCAAUAGCAGUUACACACAGGAGAGGGUGUACAGGCUGCUGCAAGUCCCUGUGUUCUUAAGAUCUGGUAUCUGAAUGAGCUCAGUAGAGAGAAAAAGGUGACACCUGAGGAAAAUGAGAUCUCUGUAGCCAGUUGCUUCAAAUACUUCCAAUACAGAAGUGGUGUUCUGCAGAUGCCCAGGGAAGAUGCAGACCCAUGGUAUUGCUGGCAACCAACUUGUGACUGCUAAAAUACAAUAGUGCAAAAACCCGUCUGCAGGCUGAGCAAACCCAGCCCUUUGUACAUGUUAUGUCUACAGUGUUCUGUGUGAAAGCUAUUAUCCCUUGGAAAACUGGCUGACACCGUUUUAACUAGGAGAAUCAAAAUCUUAGGAGCACCUCUGUAGGAUUCCCCUAAUCUUAGUGCAUUCAUAAUCACAGUCAACUACUGCUCUCUCUUUGGUAAAGAUUAUAUUGGAAGGCAUCUGUAGACAAAUAACUUCUUGAUACAGUUUUAACUAUUUACCCAUUUUCAUAUGGCCUGGUUUUGACAUCAGCAGGUAUGUUUACAUUUCUGAGUCCAAAAUGCAAUGUGGCUUUGUGUUACUUUAGAAAAAAGCCAUAAAAGAAGCCCUGAUUUUCAAAACAGAAACAUUAGAUCUGUAUUUUAUUUUAAAUAAAAUGAAUGCAUGCAGGUGGUUGAGCAAGCCAGUACAGGGUUUGUUCAGGCAUGGUUUGUGGUUUCCUCGCCCACCUGUUUUGCCUGCAGAGCAGCAAAGAGAGCACAGUUCGUGUUAGCAGUCGUAAAUCCUGUUCAUACCUUCUCCCCUGGUAGACUCCUAGGGACACGGCUGUGAGACCCGGGCUGGAUGCAGCUGUAAGAGGAGGGAGGGAAUGGCAGAGCUUCCCCUUGCAGGAGAGGCACCCUGUAACGUGAAGGGACGCAGAGAGGACCCCCCUCAGUCCCUUCCCCUCCCAGCUCCCCUCAGGUCACACUGCACCACUCUUCAGGGUAGCCGAAUACUACGAGGUGCUGCAAAAUGCUCGUCAGGGCGUUGAUCUCUGUCUGGCUCUGAAACUGGAGAGGCUGCUGGAGCUGCCUUGGCUGCUGGCCCACUGUACCGAAAUGGAGCAACUUAGGUGUGAACUCGAGCAAAAAAAUUGAAGAGGCAUCUUCACAGAGGCUGCAAACAACAAAUGACUUCUGGUUUUCUCUUCUCAAAAGACAGGCAGUACCAAACAGUAACAGGAUUCACUUCCUCCUCAUCGGCAGGUAUCAAGCCUUUUGAACUCAUUUCCAAAAUCGUGUCCCUGGUGCAAGAAGUGUGUUUGAUGUAUGUAAACAAAGAGACAUGCCACAAUAAUGAUUAAGGGAUUAGAGGAAGAGGGUCAGGGGAAUAAGAGAAGGUUAUUGCAGACACAAGGGUGUAUUCAUGACACCAGCAUACACAGUGGUUCUUCUGGAAGUUUCCCGUCUACACCAGACUAUACAGAGCUUUCUGCAGGAUUUAAGUGUGCCCAGCACUUGUGCUCUGCUUGAGGUUAAUAAGAUGGAAAAUCCUGUGUGUGAUUCCUUGCUGUAAUGACCUGUUUGUAUACAGAUGGGCUUUCAAGUUAUGGAAAUGACCCAUGACUUAUGAAAUAGCCUCUUCCUGUUUGCAAUGAUGCAAUGAAGUAUUGAGUCAUCUCUAACCCUUGCGCCUUCCCUGUACAGGCUCUUUGUUGUUUGCACCCUGUCCCCUGGGAUUUGGAUUGAUUAUACUGGACAACUGUUUUCACUUCAGCUGGUCCCAAUUUUACCAGUUUUGAAUGAAUUGCUGCUCUUUCCUAGGGAAAAGGUUUGAUCCACAUCACUGCUGAUUUGGAUUAUAAUAACUUACUGAAAAAUACCUGUGUAUAGUUAGGUCUAAAUUAAUGAAUUCUUGAUUUGGGGGAUUAAUUACUUGUAUUUAAUGUAUGUACCUAACCUUCCUCCCACAAAGUAAUGAGUCCAGGAGUUCACAAAGUUCUGGAUUCAGAUGGAAAGCACAUACUGUAGUGCUCCACCAGAUUAUAUUUCACUGCCUUUUGGAGAGAGGCCCUAAUGCCAGUGAA